UUUGACAGAAUUCAUUAAGGAAUAUGUGCUUUGUUCAUUUUCAACCUCAGUAUACUGGCACUUUGGGACGCAUUUCCUGCAUGAUUCUCUAAUUUCACAUAAAAACAAUGCAAUAAUGAUUCAUUGCUGUCUUUAGACAGGAUAUUUAAAUUAUAAUACCAUUAUAAGGGCUAUGCAUGUGUCUCUCACUCCAUGUGUAUUCUCUCCACUUUGCUCUGCAAAAGAUGACAUCUCCUUUAAAGCUUCCUGUGAAUGAUGAGGAUUGUCUCGAGCUUGAGAAAAUAGGGGACCAUGUGUGUGAUGGAAGCACCCCCAAGCCGGUUUUGAGCAGUCCAUCUAAAAAGAUGAUGGGCAGCAAUUCAGUCAGUGGGGUACGCAGACUGAGCACCAUCUCAGAGCAAGAACCAGACAAACUGGACACUGAUCCCAGUUCCCAUGAUGCCCGGGGUGGCAGUGAGUGGCGUGGAUCCAGCUUCUCAUUGUGUUCUGACAAGUUUAUAAACAGCAGCAGUCAUUUUUCCUCUGAUGAUUCAUACCAGCCUGACACUGGAGGUAUUGUGUAACUCAUCUAAAGUACAACAGUUGAUGUAAUUAAAUUGAGACACCCUGACACUGACUUCAGUUUCUCACCAAAUCAUUAACCUUCUCUCCUUUUAUACCACCUUGUCACCGCCACCAGAUGACUGUGCAGCACUUCUUCUCGCCUGUCUGCACUGCCGUUUUCACGAGUUAAUGGUCCUGCUACCGGAUACAUGCGAGAGGGCUGUGAGACGCUGUUUUCCCUCGUACAACUAUAUCAAGACAUCCAGUGAGAGAGAACAGCAGGGAAAGGAUUGCUGCAAUUACAAGCUGGAACUGGACUGUAACUGCUGCGGCUCCUGUCAAGACGCGGGAGAACUCAUAGAGCUUGCAAUGGAGAUAUCAGAAGUUUGCUAUCGCUGAGAGAUUCCUCCUUGGCCUUUCACCUCUGACCUUUAAAUAAAAAGAGUUCACUUCAAAGAGAAUCCCAAAGAUUAUCCAUCUUUGAAUGCUCAACAAAUGGCAUGACCGUCUUGUCUUAUUCCCACAUAUGUAAAAAAUUGCCUGCAUUACUGAGAUUUUUUUCAUAUUUGGCCUUGUGGAAAUGUAUCUCCAGCUUGUGUGCCUCAACAUUAUUCAAGCAGGUAACUACUGCCACCCUUUGCCACCAGUUUAUGAUGUUUCAGCCUCCUCAUUUGUUGUUACAGCCACAGAGAGCAAAGUACUCAAAUGCCAAUGAGCAAUCCUGUCAGGGUGGAAGAGGGGAUAGAGUGCAGAGUGGGGGUGGUUAUGUACAGCAUGUUGAACCAUAGCAUCCUUUACGUUCCCAGUGUCACUCCAUAAAGCAUGAUAGAGUAGGCUGAAGACAUUUAGGAGACUGGGAAUAUAGUAACUAAUAUAAGGUGAAAUACCUUUCUAUUUUGGGCUGCAGUCACUUGUGUGAAACAUAGAGCCGUGGAAGACGUAUUCAGAUCCCAUAGUAAAGUAAAGUAGCAUAAAAGUACUCCAUUACAAGUAAAACUCCUCCCCCAUUCAAAUGUUUGGUUGAAACAGUAGUCCACUGAUUUAGCAUUGUACAUGUAUAAUGUCCACGAGGGACAAAAAUAUAUCAACACACGUCUUUUUCAUUCCACAUGUUCAUAUUCCCUCUCAAAAUCUGGCACCUUCAUUACCCACAAUGCAACUCAGCUGGCAACAGUCAGUUAGAGAUUCAGAUGUAUAAUGCUUGUAGCGGCUGAUGUAGGCUUGAGCUGCUAGACUCACGCUGAGAUGAGGAGCAGCUACAAAAAUGACUUACAUUUUCAAAGUGGUAGAAUUCAGCUCAAACCAACGUUGACAUCACUCAAGACCAAGUAUCAAAUUUCACAUAGCUCCCUCUUGAGUCUCAAAAGGCCUUAUACAACUUUUUUUUACAACUUUGAUACAUAAAGUUCCCCUUAAAAUAAAAGUAUGCCAUUGAAGUAUUAUCAGCGAAUACUUUUAAAAUUGAAAAUAGGCUAAUUUUUAUGCUGAAAAGUCACUGUCAGUAUUAUAUUAUUCUAUCAUUUAAUUAUCAUUAUUGAUACAUUAAGCAUUACUUUCAUAUUGUAUUUGGUCAAGGUGGAGCAAAUUCUAACAGCUUAAUGUACUGAUAGGUGGUUUAAUCUGUAAUAAUGCAUUACCUUGAUCAUAAUCUUUGUAUCUAACAUUAACAAUUAGAAAAGUAGCAAUUAACUUUUAAACAGUAAAAUAAAUGUAGUCCAAGAAAAUUUAAAACAUUUCCCCAUACGUAGUCAAGUAUAAAGUAGAACUCAAAUAACGUACCUCAAAGUUUGAUGUGAGUUACAGGCAGCAUUUUAGCAGUUGUCUCUGUCAAUCCCUAAAAAAGUAAACACUGAAUUAAAGCUACAGUAUAGCAUACAGUAUCAGUAUCAGCCUAUUAUCUUCAGCUAUAUGAGAACAAGUCAGAACAAUGAGAAUCAUUCAGUGCAGAAAAAAUUCUGGAUCUCAGAAGUAACAUGUACAACAAGUAACAUUUCUCUGGAGGCAUAUGUGGGGUGAAGAACUAAAUGAAACCACAAACAUUUAGGAGGAUCUAUUGGCAGGAAUGGAAUGUAAUAUUCAUAGGUGUGUUUUCAUCGGUGUAUAAUCACCUGAAAAUAAGAAUUGUGGUGUUUUCGUAAUCCUUUUUACAAAGGGAGCCGGUCCUCUUCUACCGUCCAUCUUCGACAGCCAUGUUUGUACAGUAGCCGACCACAGACAAAUCAAACACUGGCCCCAGAUUGGACCUUUUUCCUUUUUCGCAAGUUUCAUGGCUACUGUAGUUUCUCCUACAUGCUUGGAACUGGAUGUGGUUUUGGCGACAUCUUUGCAUCGCCGGAGAACUACAUAUAUUCAGUUGCCACUUUACUAUGAUGUUAGGUGUUGAGAUGUUAAAUGUGCUUGUCAUUGCAUGAUCACUGAUCAAGAGAAUGAUUUUCCUGAUAGUCAUGCAUGUGGUAGACCAUGAACACCCAAGUGUGUGUAAUUAACCUUACUGCCACUGUGGAAAGCACAAUUACAUUUACAUUACAUUUUUCUGACCAAUUUCUAUCUUUGGCAGUUCAUGCUAAGAAAAAUGAGUGUGCUUAGACUAGAAUUAGUUGUAGAUGGUGAUUGUGUUGCAAGCAGAAACCAACUUAUGGUGCAUUUAAACCCCUGAUUGAUAAACAAUGUUUGCUAUCUUAUAUUGAAUAUGGAGCAGUAUUUUUUUUACAUGCUAGUAGGCUCAUUUGUGUGAACAAGCUUUGAUCCUUUUUAAAAAUAUGUUUGAGGAGCUCCUUUCUGGAGUUUCACACAAGCACUUGAACACAACAACAACAACAAAAAAACAGUCCCUUAUUGUAAAUUUAUUAAGAAGAUAUCAGAUACCAAAUGUUUAUUGAGAUUAUCAAUGUUACAAAUUUCAGGUUUCAUUAAACUGAUUUUCAUAGUUCUUGGAAACAAAAGCUACAUACAGCUAAUUUCAUCAGCAUAUUUCUGAGAAUUUAUGAGCAUAGAUUUUGAAGUUUGGACAAUUUCAGGUUAUUUGCUCAUUAACAAUGCAAAUAUGACUUCUUGCUAAGGCAUCUACAGUGAUUUUCACAACACCAGGUAUGUAGUAGAAGCUAGCAUCGGUAUUUGCAUAAUGGGAUUGCUAAAGGUCAACUGACAGUUGACAGUUGACUCUUCUCUAGCUACUAAAGACAGACCUGUAAAGUGUCUCUCAACAACCAAAAUCUAGACUGCCCAGCUCCCUCCAAAACCCCCAAUUCUUUCUUGGUUUCUACUAACUUCUGUCUGUUGGCUCUGCCAGGGAUGUUGUAAUGCAAUAUUUAAAGUCUGUCUCCAGUCAGAAAUGUGUUUUGUUUAUUGUUUACUUGGAUGUUUGACCUUCACAGAUGUUUCUGCAGAGUUUGACAUAUUAUUCUGCUAACUCUGUAAGCUUGAAUCUGAGAGUGUUCAUACUAGCAUGAUUUUGUGACAUCACAACUACUUGUUACUACAAGCCAAUUGUGGCCCAAUAUGUAAUUUACACAAAUGUGAUGUUGAAACUUGAAACCUCGAAAGCACAUAAACUGAGAAUGUAUCAGUUAUGUUGUGUCCAGCAAUUUAUUUUAAUGUUUCAUAAUGACAUUUUUUUUUUAAAUCAACAAUAGCUGCAUAUUCAAAGCUUCUGGAUUUUUCAAUGAAGGAGAAAGGGUAGAUCCAAUUUUAUGAAUCAAUUAAACUUUUGUUGUGGCAAAAACACAGACACAAAUUAUUAUCCAAAUCAUAUUUUGUAUUUAGAUUAGAAAUUUAACAUUAAGGAGGAACUAUUGGCAGAAACUAAAUAUAGCCUAAUAUUUAAACGUGUGUUUUCAUUAAUCUCCUGAAAAUAAGAAUUGUUGCGUUUUUAAGACCGAUUUCUAUCUACAGAGGGAGCAGGUCCUCUUCAGGAGCAGUCUGCCAUGUUGAACUACCAUAUGCCAAUAACAGCCCACAACAGAGGGUGUGAGCAGGAAGCUGCUGCACUCCAAGCUGUAUCUUUAAA
rnacentral:lncRNA from 15 species